CCUACGGGGUGCAGCAGUCGAGAAUCAUUCACAAUGGGGGAAACCCUGAUGGUGUGACGCCGCGUGGGGGAAUGAAGGUCUUCGGAUUGUAAACCCCUGUCAUGUGGGAGCAAAUUAAAAAGAUAGUACCACAAGAGGAAGAGACGGCUAACUCUGUGCCAGCAGCCGCGGUAAUACAGAGGUCUCAAGCGGUGUUCGGCAUCACUGGGCGUAAAGCGUGCGUAGGCUGUUUCGUAAGUCGGUUGUGAAAGGCGCGGGCUCAACCCGCGGACGGCACAUGAUACUGCGAGACGAGAGGAAUGGAGGGGGAACCGGAAGUCGCGGUGUAGCAGUGAAAUGCGUAGAUAUCGAGAGGAACACUCGUGGCGAAGGCGGGUUCCUGGACAUUAACUGACGCUGAGGCACGAAGGCCAGGGGAGCGAAAGGGAUUAGAUACCCGUGUAGUC
rnacentral:rRNA from 1 species